rnacentral:rRNA from 1 species
GACGAACGCUGGCGGCGUGCUUAACACAUGCAAGUCGAGCGAGAACCGGGGCUUCGGCCCCGGGGACAGCGGCGAACGGGUGAGUAACACGUGGAUAACCUGCCCUCGGCACCGGAAUAGCCCGGGGAAACUCGGAUUAAUGCCGGAUAGCCCCACAUCCCUGCGGGGAACGUGGGAAAAGGUAGCUUCGGCCUCUGGCCGGGGAUGGGUCCGCGGUGGAUUAGCUUGUUGGCGGGGUAACGGCCCACCAAGGCGACGAUCCAUAGCUGGUCUGAGAGGACGAUCAGCAACACUGGGACUGAGACACGGCCCAGACUCCUACGGGAGGCAGCAGUGGGGAAUCUUGCGCAAUGGGCGAAAGCCUGACGCAGCGACGCCGCGUGCGGGAAGAAGGCCUUAGGGUUGUAAACCGCUUUCAGGAGAGACGAAGCCACUCGGGUUAAUAGCCCAGAGGGUGACGGUACCUCCAGAAGAAGCCCCGGCUAACUACGUGCCAGCAGCCGCAGUAAGAC